GAUGAAGAACGUAGCGAAAUGCGAUAAGUAGUGUGAAUUGCAGAAUUCAGUGAAUCAUCGAAUCUUUGAACGCCCAUUGCGCCUUCUAGUAUUCUGGGAGGCAUGCCUGUUUGAGCGUCAUUAAACCUCUCUCAAGUAUGAUUACUUGGAUGUGAAGGAAGAGUACCUUAAACUUAAGGAGUGUUCUCCUUUGAAAUUGAUUAGCAGAUGGUAAUGUUAUUAAAUCCCUGAUGUUGUAAGAAAUAACAGUGGUUUUGUAGACUAUUAUCUAGCUUUAAAUUAUAAUUUUUAUUAUGGUUGACCUCAAAUCAGGUAAGGAUACCCGCUGAACUUAAGCAUAUCAAUAAGCGGAGGA
rnacentral:misc_RNA from 1 species